AAAAAUGUCAACACUGCCCUCUCUCUGAUUGGAUACGAGAAGGACUUAAAGGCCGCUAUGGAGUUCGUAUUUGGCUCAGUGUUUGUAUGCUCCGACAUGAACAGUGCCAAAAAGGUGACAUUCGACGAUAAGAUCAUGAAGAAGUCAGUGACUAUGGAAGGCGACUCCUUCGAUCCAGCAGGAACCUUGACAGGAGGUGCCAGAGCCCAUACUAACUCAAUCCUUGAGAAGCUUUCCGAGUUUACUGAGGUGGAGUCCAAGCUAAAAGAAAAACAAACUAAGCUACAUGAAGUGGAGAAGGAACUCAACUCACUCAAACAUGUAGCAGAGAAGUACACAACUUUCAAGCAGAAAUAUGAUCUGAAGGUCCAGGAAGCGGAACUUCUGAAAGCUCGCCUUGAACAAGGUUCCCACCAUCAGCAGCUGGAGGACAUAGAGGCACUGAAACAGUCCAUAGAGGAACAGGAAGGAGUUUUGAAGAAAGCUGAAGAAACUCAGAAAAAGAUGUCUAAGAAAGCCAAAGACUUGGAGGACAAGAUAAAAAAUGCCAAGGCGGUGAGGGAGAAGGAGUUAAAGGAGGCGGAGGGAGAGGUGACCAAGAGUAAGAAAAAGAUGGAGGAGUCCGGUCGCAAGAUGAAGGAAAAAUACCAGGAAACAGAGAGUCUCAAGUUGGAGAUGGAGGAGCUACAGAAAGAGGUGGAGACGUACGAGGAGCAGAUAAAGACCGUGGAGGAGACAAUCGCUCAGUUUGAAGAGCAGAUCAAGGACCUUGCAGACAAAUCCCAGACAACAAAGACUGAGGUGAAGGAAGCACAGGAGGCCCUGAACAAACAGAAGGACCUGUUGAAGGCCUGUAACAAGGACAUCUCGCAGAGGAUUGGGGAACAGAAGGACCUACAGAAAGAGAACCACAGCUCUCAGCUCAAAAUCCAGGAACUGGAGCACAAAAUCUCCAAGUUCCAGAACGACUCCAAGUCGGCAGCCAGAGAGGUGGAAAGUCUUCUAAAGAACUAUGACUGGAUCAUCGAUGAAAAGAAAUAUUUUGGACACCCGAACACAGCAUAUGACUUUCAGGCAAAUGACCCUAAAGUAGCGGAGAAGAAGAUAGGGAAGCUACAGGAAUCUAAAGACAAACUGUCAAAGAGUGUCAACAUGAGGGCCAUGAACAUGCUGGGCAAGGCAGAGGAACAGUAUGCUGACUUGAUGAAGAAGAGGAAGAUUGUGCUAAAUGACAAGACAAAGAUUGCGGCGGUGAUAGAGGAGCUGGACCAGAAGAAGAACGAGGCACUGACCAAGGCCUGGGAACAGGUCAACAAGGACUUUAGUUCAAUAUUCUCCACUCUGCUGCCAGGAGCUCGGGCCAAGUUGUCUCCCCCUGAGGGUCAGUCUGCCCUAGACGGUCUGGAGGUCAGGGUCGGGUUUGGUGACGUGUGGAAGGAGUCACUCAGUGAACUCAGUGGGGGUCAGAGGUCGCUGAUUGCCCUGUCUUUGAUCCUGGCCAUGCUGUUGUUUAAGCCUGCCCCCCUGUACAUCCUGGAUGAGGUGGAUGCAGCCUUAGAUAUAUCACACACUCAGAACAUUGGCCAGAUGAUCAAGUCUCACUUCAAACACUCACAGUUCAUUGUGGUUUCCCUGAAGGAUGGAAUGUUUAAUAAUGCCAAUGUGUUAUUUAAGACAAAAUUUGUGGAUGGUGUUUCCACGGUAACACGGUAUGUACAGCACGGUCGAUCGACUUCAGUGAGUAACAUCGUGGCAGACAAAGAAAACAAUCACAACUCAAAGAAGAAACAACAGGCGGCAAAGCGCUCGCGUUUGGAAUGAGGGGAUAGUAUCAGAUAUCAGGCAGACUAAAGCUGACAUUCUCAAAAAGAUUCCACCAUUGUGUUCAGAUUGGCUGUUACAAUGAACUGUAUAAUGAUUUGUUAAGUUUAAUAUUUUGCAAGGAUGUGAAGUUUUGAUUCAUGUAUCAAUGUCAAUUGGAAUGAAACAGAAUUUUUUAUUAUCUCUGUUUGAGUUUUACUGUAAUGUACAAUGCAUGUAAUAAACUAUGCUCUAUUU
rnacentral:misc_RNA from 1 species